ACCAGACUCCUACGGGAGGCAGCAGUGGGGGAUAUUGCACAAUGGGGGGAACCCUGAUGCAGCGACGCCGCGUGGGUGAAGAAGCGCCUCGGCGCGUAAAGCCCUGUCAGCAGGGAAGAAAAUGACGGUACCUGAAGAAGAAGCCCCGGCUAACUACGUGCCAGCAGCCGCGGUAAUACGUAGGGGGCAAGCGUUAUCCGGAUUUACUGGGUGUAAAGGGGGCGCAGACGGCGAUGCAAGCCAGGAGUGAAAGCCCGGGGCCCAACCCCGGGACUGCUCUUGGAACUGCGUGGCUGGAGUGCAGGAGGGGCAGGCGGAAUUCCUGGUGUAGCGGUGAAAUGCGUAGAUAUCAGGAGGAACACCGGUGGCGAAGGCGGCCUGCUGGACUGCAACUGACGUUGAGGCCCGAAAGCGUGGGGAGCAAACAGGAUUAGAUACCCGAGUAGU
rnacentral:rRNA from 1 species